rnacentral:lncRNA from 1 species
UUCACACGUGAAAAAGAGAGAAGAAAGAAAAAGAGAGAGAGAAAGGGGGAUAGAGAGAGAGAAUAGCUUGGGAAAUAUCAAAUAUUUUAAUCACGUACUUUCAAGGUGGAGGAAAGAUUUUCAACGUAUUUCAAAUUUUUUUUAAAAACGAGGUAAGAUACAUUUAUGUGCUAAGUGUUUUACAUUUUCCUUAUGCUCUUAUAUACAAUUAAUAUGCAUGGAUUACUAGUGGACCUUCGAGUUCUAGAGAAAGAGAUAUGAUAUUUCUAAGGGAAUUUAAGAGGAUUUAAAAUGAGUGUGUCGCUUGGUCACCGAUAUACUCCAUAAGAGAAGAGCGUUAUGAAGUGUAUAAUUUAUUUGUUAUGUAAUGGUGUAUGGAAAUUACACUUAUUUUAUUGGGUAUUUUAAAAUACUCACUCUUACAUUAAUUUUACAGGUUAGUCCGGGUUGAUUGAAAUAGUGGCGAAUUGGUGAUGCGGGCUGCCAAGUGGAUAAAGGAAAAGAAAUAAAUUUGUCGUAUUUAAAAUUUAUCAGUCAGUUUAAUUUAUUCAGAAUGUGAUAUUUGAAUUUGCUAAGAGUUUAUAUUUAUGUUUAGAUACGAUUUUCAUAUUUUCAAAUUUAGAUUUAUAAAUAUUGCAUUUAUUUGAUUAUUAAAGAAUUUUUUUAUAUAGUUCCGCAUUUAAAAUAAAGAAAAGUGAGUUUUUGAUAACGUUUCGAUGUUUAUAGAAAAAAAUUGGGGCAUUACAUAAGGAGCCUAUUUGUUUUUCAUUUUCAUAGUGAGAAUGCAUUUUGAAAUAAUUGAUUGUUGACAAUUGUGUGGCUAAGAAAUAGGAAAAAGCUUUAAUUUUGUGUGUAUUAUUAUUUUAUUAAAAAAUAUAUGGUUGAAAAAAAAGAGAGAUAAAAAUAAAUUUUGGAAAAAAUUCAGUAUCAAACAAGAUUUUCAUCCGUCACGUUUAAUUUUUUUGUCCAGGUACAUGGAUGUAAGCAAUCGGGCGAUCGAUAACAUUGAUAACUUUUUAUUUUACGGUGAACAAGUAGUAACCGGAUCUAGAAUGUUAAUGAGCAGGGAUUUAAUUAACUCUAAUGUCGCCCAUAAUCUUCUCCUUUCGUUUUCUUGAUUUGUUGUAUAUCUAUGAAGAUUGAAGAAACGAAAGAAGAAAUCAAAAGCUUCGAUUAAAAUAUCCCGAAAGAUAAUCGGGGUGGCAGGGCGUUAAGCUAAAUCACCAAAAAGAAAAAUGAUACAUUGGUUAAAGCAGCUACUGAUCGCUUUUGGAGCCUCAUUUUUAUGGCUCGCUUGCUUGAUUUACUUCACCCAGGUUCUCUUCAUUCCCCCGAUUAAUUAUUAAUAUAUAUGUUUUUGCAUUAGUUUUCUCGAUGGAGUUUUUCUGUCUUGGAAAUAAUUUUGGAUUUUUCUAAUGUGUUUUAUGAUUUAUUGAUCUAUUGAUUUCUUGUUUUGGAUUUCUCGGUUUGUUAUAUUCUUAGUUUAUAGUUUUCCUACGAACAUGUUUAGAAUUUCCUAUUUAAAAUCUCCACAAACCUGUUGUUUCAUGAAACUAUCAUGAUUCGCAAAUGCCGAAACUAUCAUAAUUGACAAUUUUCCAGUUUGGGGACAAUAUGCUUCAAGAUUAUUAAAGGCAACUCCACUUGAAUUGCAUUGAUAAAUAGUAGAUUUGCUCCAUUUCUGCACAAGGUGGGAAUAAGAUCUAAAUUUUCUCUUGCUAUCAGCAUUAAAUAACUGUAAAUAACGAAAUAAUAAUGAGCAAAUGUGUGGAGACGCUGAUUUGGCAGCCAGCAGUCUGUCACAUGACGAUUUCCGGUAUUUUACAUGUCUAAAUAUUAUUCUAGUAGCAUGAUUUAGUGGCUGCUCAUGACAGUGCUAGUUCCUUGUGAAGAUAAUUGCCUCGCAUUAGACUACAAUGGGGAAAAGUGGUCUAAAAUAAGUCAUCUUAAAUGCAUUUGUAACUCCAUAGAUUACAUGCGGUGGAAAUUACCUAUGAGUUAUUACAAGAAGACAUAUGAAGAUAGAAUUGAUUGUCUUUUAAAACGAGGGAGACCAUUUUUGCUAAUAGCUAUUGAUAAAGCAUUGUAGUUUUCGGUCGCUAUUUUAAUUUUUUAAAUAACUCUAUGCCUUUCAAUCAAGAUAUACAUGUUUGUUAAUAAAAUGGUGAAAUUUGGAGAUAAUAAUACUCANAAUUCUUUUAUGUAGAAGCCACAAGUGAUCAAUAUAAUGAGCCGUAGCAGCAAUAUAACCUUUUCUAUUACAACCAGUCCAUAAAUCAGAAGUAAACGAUAUAACACUAUUAAAACUUUUUAGACCUUCAAUAGUAAUUUGUUUUCUUCUAUUAUAUAAUUUUAUGCUAUCCGAACGAAGAGUAUUUCUAGAAUAAGAAGAAUACCUCGGUUGGAGAUAUUUCUGCACGAGUCGGGUAAAGUGUAUUGAGUCUAUCAUUGUAAGCGGCAUCUCUGCUGCAGCCACGUAUGCAGCCAUUCCUUCACGAAAUCUUUCCUGUGAAUAUACAAAAGUGGAAAGAGUAGAAUUAGAACCGCCAAACACUAGUUCGGUUUGUUUCGAGUCGAGAUCGGCUGGUUUUGCUUUGCAACUCCUCAAUACGUGUCUAUUCAAAUGCGUUGUGCUCGAACCAGGCUUCCAACUAAGUUCUUUGCCACAAUAAUUGCAACAUGCUUUCCAAAUAUCUACUCCAUUUUGAACACCAAUUUUUUUUCGUGUCAUAUGUUGCCAACAGUCCGAUGAUUCUUUUUUUGACCUUUUUGUCUCGA